rnacentral:rRNA from 1 species
CUACGGGCGGCUGCAGUCGAGAAUCUUCGGCAAUGGGCGAAAGCCUGACCGAGCGAUGCCGCGUGCGGGAUGAAGGCCUUCGGGUUGUAAACCGCUGUCAGUUGGGAGGAAGGCUUCGUGAAGAGCGAAGUUUGACCUAUCUUCAGAGGAAGUCCGGGCUAAGUUCGUGCCAGCAGCCGCGGUAACACGAACCGGACAAACGUUAUUCGGAAUUAUUGGGCUUAAAGGGUGCGUAGGCGGCUUCGUAGGUGGGGUGUGAAAUCCCUCGGCUCAACCGAGGAACUGCGCCCCAAACCACGAAGCUAGAGGGAGACAGGAGUAAGCGGAACUGAUGGUGGAGCGGUGAAAUGCGUUGAUAUCAUCAGGAACACCAGUGGCGAAGGCGGCUUACUGGGUCUCUUCUGACGCUGAGGCACGAAAGCUCGGGUAGCGAACGGGAUUAGAUACCCGUGUAGUC